GUAGGUGGCAAGCGUUGUCCGGAAUUAUUGGGCGUAAAGCGCGCGCAGGUGGGUUCUUUAAGUCUGAUGUGAAAGCCCCCGGGCUCAACCGGGGAGGGUCAUUGGAAACUGGGGAACUUGGGUGCAGGAGAGGAAAGUGGAAUUCCACGUGUAGCGGUGAAAUGCGUAGAUAUGUGGAGGAACACCAGUGGCGAAGGCGACUUUCUGGCCUGUAACUGACACUGAGGCGCGAAAGCGUGGGGAGCAAACAGGAUUAGAUACCCUGGUAGUCCACGCCGUAAACGAUGAGUGCUAAGUGUUGGGGGGGUUUCCGCCCCUCAGUGCUGCAGCUAACGCAUUAAGCACUCCGCCUGGGGAGUACGGUCGCAAAGACUG
rnacentral:rRNA from 1 species